rnacentral:rRNA from 1 species
GGUUAAGCGACUAAGCGUACACGGUGGAUGCCCUGGCAGUCAGAGGCGAUGAAGGACGUGCUAAUCUGCGAUAAGCGUCGGUAAGGUGAUAUGAACCGUUAUAACCGGCGAUUUCCGAAUGGGGAAACCCAGUGUGUUUCGACACACUAUCAUUAACUGAAUCCAUAGGUUAAUGAGGCGAACCGGGGGAACUGAAACAUCUAAGUACCCCGAGGAAAAGAAAUCAACCGAGAUUCCCCCAGUAGCGGCGAGCGAACGGGGAGGAGCCCAGAGCCUGAAUCAGUGUGUGUGUUAGUGGAAGCGUCUGGAAAGGCGCGCGAUACAGGGUGACAGCCCCGUACACAAAAAUACACAUAUUGUGAGCUCGAUGAGUAGGGCGGGACACGUGGUAUCCUGUCUGAAUAUGGGGGGACCAUCCUCCAAGGCUAAAUACUCCUGACUGACCGAUAGUGAACCAGUACCGUGAGGGAAAGGCGAAAAGAACCCCGGCGAGGGGAGUGAAAAAGAACCUGAAACCGUGUACGUACAAGCAGUGGGAGCACGCUUAGGCGUGUGACUGCGUACCUUUUGUAUAAUGGGUCAGCGACUUAUAUUCUGUAGCAAGGUUAACCGAAUAGGGGAGCCGAAGGGAAACCGAGUCUUAACUGGGCGUUAAGUUGCAGGGUAUAGACCCGAAACCCGGUGAUCUAGCCAUGGGCAGGUUGAAGGUUGGGUAACACUAACUGGAGGACCGAACCGACUAAUGUUGAAAAAUUAGCGGAUGACUUGUGGCUGGGGGUGAAAGGCCAAUCAAACCGGGAGAUAGCUGGUUCUCCCCGAAAGCUAUUUAGGUAGCGCCUCGUGAAUUCAUCUCCGGGGGUAGAGCACUGUUUCGGCAAGGGGGUCAUCCCGACUUACCAACCCGAUGCAAACUGCGAAUACCGGAGAAUGUUAUCACGGGAGACACACGGCGGGUGCUAACGUCCGUCGUGAAGAGGGAAACAACCCAGACCGCCAGCUAAGGUCCCAAAGUCAUGGUUAAGUGGGAAACGAUGUGGGAAGGCCCAGACAGCCAGGAUGUUGGCUUAGAAGCAGCCAUCAUUUAAAGAAAGCGUAAUAGCUCACUGGUCGAGUCGGCCUGCGCGGAAGAUGUAACGGGGCUAAACCAUGCACCGAAGCUGCGGCAGCGACGCUUAUGCGUUGUUGGGUAGGGGAGCGUUCUGUAAGCCUGUGAAGGUGUGCUGUGAGGCAUGCUGGAGGUAUCAGAAGUGCGAAUGCUGACAUAAGUAACGAUAAAGCGGGUGAAAAGCCCGCUCGCCGGAAGACCAAGGGUUCCUGUCCAACGUUAAUCGGGGCAGGGUGAGUCGACCCCUAAGGCGAGGCCGAAAGGCGUAGUCGAUGGGAAACAGGUUAAUAUUCCUGUACUUGGUGUUACUGCGAAGGGGGGACGGAGAAGGCUAUGUUGGCCGGGCGACGGUUGUCCCGGUUUAAGCGUGUAGGCUGGUUUUCCAGGCAAAUCCGGAAAAUCAAGGCUGAGGCGUGAUGACGAGGCACUACGGUGCUGAAGCAACAAAUGCCCUGCUUCCAGGAAAAGCCUCUAAGCAUCAGGUAACAUCAAAUCGUACCCCAAACCGACACAGGUGGUCAGGUAGAGAAUACCAAGGCGCUUGAGAGAACUCGGGU